rnacentral:rRNA from 1 species
UACAGAGGUCUCAAGCGUUUGUUCGGAUUCAUUGGGCGUAAAGGGUGCGUAGGCGGCGCGGUAAGUCGGGUGUGAAAUCUCGGGGCUUAACUCCGAAACUGCAUUCGAUACUGCCGUGCUUGAGGACUGGAGAGGAGACUGGAAUUUACGGUGUAGCGGUGAAAUGCGUAGAUAUCGUAAGGAAGACCAGUGGCGAAGGCGGGUCUCUGGACAGUUCCUGACGCUGAGGCACGAAGGCCAGGGGGAGCGAACAGG